UGGGGAAUUUUCCGCAAUGGGCGAAAGCCUGACGGAGCAAUACCGCGUGAGGGAUGACGGCCUAUGGGUUGUAAACCUCUUUUUUCAGGGAGGAAUAAAUGACGUGUACCUGAAGAAUAAGCAUCGGCUAACUCCGUGCCAGCAGCCGCGGUAAGACGGAGGAUGCAAGUGUUAUCCGGAAUCACUGGGCGUAAAGCGUCUGUAGGUGGUCAAAUAAGUCAACUGUUAAAUCUUGAGGCUCAACCUCAAAAUCGCAGUCGAAACUAUUAGACUAGAGUAUAGUAGGGGUAAAGGGAAUUUCCAGUGGAGCGGUGAAAUGCGUAGAGAUUGGAAGGAACACCGAUGGCGAAGGCACUUUACUGGGCUAUUACUAACACUCAGAGACGAAAGCUAGGGUAGCAAAUG
rnacentral:rRNA from 1 species